rnacentral:misc_RNA from 1 species
UUGUGGAGGAGGACGCCGAAGGUGGGGCUAAUGACUGGGGUGAAGUCGUAACAAGGUAGCCGUACCGGAAGGUGCGGCUGGAUCACCUCCUAACAGGGAGACAACAAAAUGUUUAAUAUUAUUAUUUUGUCACCUUAGGUCGAUCGGUAUCUUACAUUCUUAAUUUAUUGAGGAUUUCAUUUCCUAAGUUUUUUCUAGGUCACACCCAUUAUUUUUCCUGGGCCAUUAGCUCAGGUGGUUAGAGCGCACCCCUGAUAAGGGUGAGGUCCCUGGUUCAAGUCCAGGGUGGCCCAUAUCUCUAUGUUGGGGGUAUAGCUCAGUUGGUAGAGCGCCUGCUUUGCAAGCAGGAUGUCAGCGGUUCGAGUCCGCUUACCUCCACUGAUUCCACCUCUUACAUAAUCUGAUGAAGGAAAUGUUUUGAGUUGUGAUCAAAUUCUGAACGAUUCUAGCUUCCUAAUGAAAUCAUUAAGAUGCUGGACUCAUUGAAUUAAUUUCAUUGUUUUCAGAGAACCUUGACAACUGCAUAGAUUAUUUUUAAAGACAAUAAGCAUCUUUGAUGAUGCAGAUUUAUUAUUUGUGCGAAUGCAUUAAAUAACAAUUCUAUUAAGCUGAUGCUUCAAUUAUUGAAGUUAUUGGUCAAGCUACAA